GCUUCUUCAGAGCCAGCGAGGGGGACAGCCGCGAGCUGCUCCACUCGCGGUCCCACGCGGCGUUCCCCUGGACGCGGCCGCCCGUCACCCCCGUGGACCCUGCCGGUGAAAAGUCAGGUGUGGGUCCCGCUCACACCCGGGGGAGGCAGGUCAGAGCGUGAACACAGGGGUUGGGCCGUGGGGCCGCUGGCCUGUGCGCCCCCGUCCUCACCCUCGCAGACACACGCACCCGCAGUCACACGCAGGCGCGAAGGCCCAGGCCCGAGCAGAUCGGGAUGAGGAUCGACGGACGGGGUCAGACGCACCCCCCACACCCGUCCCCUGCACGCGACGCGAGGGGCGGGAGAGCGGGCUUUGCGUUACCUGCUGUGUGACCCGGGACAGGCCGCCUCCUGCUGGGUCUCUGCUCCUCAUCCACGAGCGGCAGUGGGGCUCGGCCCGGCUCCCAGAUGCCGCAGACGUGUCCCCCAGCGUCCACGCCACCCACCUUCCGGGGGGAUCAGUGGAGGUUUUGUUUUCUGAACGACCAAGCAAGUAACUCAGUUCUCCGUGGACCCUGGCUGAGCGUCUCCCAGAUCUGACUCGGUCCGACUCUGGCUCCCUGGAGAUGGCGUCAGACCCCGUGGGCGGGGGCUCAGUCCCCAGGCCCGCCCCCUCCCCUUCGGGCUGCAGGACGACUGGCUGUGGAGCAGAGGGUCCCACGACCCCCUCCUCGGGUUGGAUCGUUGGCCGGAGCGGCUCGCAGAGCUCGGGUGAACGUGUCGCGCACGGGAUCGCUGGUUUACGAUGAGAGGAUGUCUGUCACCGGAAGAGCGGACGGGAGAGAUGCGUGGGGCAGGUGCACAGGAAGGUGCGGAGCUCCCCGCCCUCCCCCGGCCCGUGGCCUCCGCGGCUCCGCGUUCACCGCCCUGGAAGCCCUCCCGCGCGGCCCCGGGUCGGCUGGGGGGUGGGUCCCGGAGGCUUCAUGGCCCUGGCCCGACUGACGGAUCACUGGCCCUGGCCGAGGGGUCUGUCUCCGGCCCCUGUUCCCUCCGGGGUGCAGGGGUGGGAGGGGGAGACCCUCCAGUCACAUGGUCGGUUCCUCCCCCAGCCCCCAUCCUCGGGGGCUUUCCAGAGGCCACCUCACUCACACAAGACACCUUGUCACUGUCAUCACUUAAGAAGCCCCAGAGUUUUAGGAGCUCUGCGCCAGGAUGGAUGAGGACCAAACAUAUUUCACACUAUAAAACAGCAUCACGCCUGCCCACACAGAGCCCUGAGCCCGGCAGAUGGGACCCGGGAGCCAGCCCAAAGCACCAGACGCUCAGGUCAUUGUCGGAACAGACUGGAGUCCCUGGAUGCAUCCCAGCUGGACGGGAGGCCUCUGACCAACCUGAAGCCGGCCCGUGUCCCCUCUGUGUCACGCAGCCGCUCAGGAAGCCCCAGUGACGGUGGAUGGGAGGGAAGCCCGUCCCUCAAGCAUUCGCGGCCAUGAGGGUCUGGCCGACCCUGGCUGUGGCCACGUGGCUGCAGGGACACGGACAGCAGCUCUAAUGUGAAGUAGGUGCCACGCACCUCGGGUGACAUGCCCACGUGGUCCCCUUUGCGGUGGGUCCUGAGACUGGUCUCCUGGGUUUGGGACAAGUCUCUUCCCCUCUCUGAGCCUCAGCUUGUUCACCUGUACAGUGGGGAUGUCCCUCUCUGAAUGAGUGACUCCUGUGUCCUUGGGCUGACCGGCUGCUUCGGGGCCCCUUCCCUCCCCAGCCUCUGCUGCCCCACAGGGCCCUGAGGGCCGGCAGGGGCAGGGCCUGGGGGCGCCCAGCCAGCCACUCCUCCCUGGAGCUGAUGACAGACAUGUGGAGUUUCCAUGGAGGCUGGAAAACGGAACACAGAGAACUCGGAGAUUUUGUAAUCGCAACUCUCGAGUAACCGAAAACAAUGAAGCCGUAAAUCUAACUCCAGCGCCUGGAGCUGGGUUUUGUCUGUGGUGUGGAGGUGCCCCCCGUGAAAGGGUGGCUGGAGGAGGCAGGGAAGAAGCUGGGUGCCUGCAGUCAGCCUGCGCCCCUUAUCGGACGCCCCGAGACAUUUCCAGGGACGUGGGAUAACGGGCCCUAGCUCCUGGGCCGCCCGUGGCAAAUGACACUCGGGAAACACAGGACAGGGGUCGGCUGUUCUUGGACCCAGGUCCCCUAGAAGCGGAGCCUGAGACAGGGGUUGUGGCUGUGCGAUUUGUUGGGACUGUUCCCAGGACAGGGCAGGGUCUCUGCCGGAGUCACGCUUCGGCCUGGACCGCAGAAGCUCUGAGUGUGACCCAAGCCACCCAGGCAGGCCCAGCUUGUACCUGCGGGUGCUCUGGAUUUGGGGGGGGGGGCAGCCCCGGGGCAGGCGCUGACCCAGGGCCGUUUUCCUCUGAAGGGGCAGCUGUGAGGGUGAGUCAGCCCGAUCCUCCGGCCGCUGGGGGAGGCGUGCGGGGCCUGGUCAGGGAGCUCCAGUCCCUGCAACAGCCGUGUGUCCGUUCCCAUUUCACAGGUGAAGAGACUGAGGCCCAGAGAGAUCAUGGGGCUCGUCCAGGCCACACCCCACACGCAGUAGAGGCAGGGCGGCCCCGGGCGUGCCUGCCCCACACAUCGUUCUUGCAAGGAGGAGGCUGUUGUGUGCCGACCCCCCCCCCCCCCAACGCCUCUGAGGCUGGUUGCAGCCCCUCCACGUUAGCGUGGAAGCCGCGCCCAGGACCGCCGGGGCCACGGGGAAGGUCUCACUGCCGAGCCG
ensembl:lncRNA